UACGUAGGGGGCAAGCGUUGUCCGGAUUUAUUGGGCGUAAAGAGCUCGUAGGCGGCUUUGUAAGUCGGGUGUGAAAACUCUAGGCUCAACCUAGAGACGCCACCCGAUACUGCGAUGACUAGAGUCCGGUAGGGGAGAGUGGAAUUCCUGGUGUAGCGGUGAAAUGCGCAGAUAUCUGAAGGAACAUCAGUGGCGAAAGCGACUGUCUGGACCAAUACUGACGCUCAUGUGCGAAAGCGUGGGGAGCAAACAGG
rnacentral:rRNA from 1 species